UUUUUUUUUUUAAUAUUUUAUUUAUUUAUUCAUGAGAGACACACAGAGAGAGAGGCAGAGACACAGGCAGAGGGAGAAGCAGGCUCCAUGCACCGGGAGCCCGACGUGGGACUCGAUCCCGGGUCUUCAGGAUCAGGCCCUAGGCUGAAGGCGGCACUAAACCGCUGAGCCACCCGGGCUGCCCUGUCUCUGCCUUUCUAUGUGUCUCUCAUGAAUGAAUGAAUGAAUAAAUAAAUUCUUAAAAAAAAAAAAAAACAUUGAAUAGCAGACAUUGCUGAAGGACCGGGUGCCCAUGACACAUUCACAUUAGGUUACACUUAAAGGAGACAUUAAGAGGCUAUUAUCAAACUGUCUCAUUCUUCUUCUCCUUGACUAUUUAAAGUGAGGUGUAAUACACAUACCAUAAAGAGCAUAAAGAGCCUUGGCCUCUUUCCCUCAGCAGCAGCAGCAGCAGCAGAUUGUGCAGACAUGGCCAAGAUUAAGAACUUCUUUAAGACCUUUAAGGAGGAGGUGCUUAAACAGCUGGAAGACCUGAAGGUGGGAGCUGUCCCAGCUGUGAGGCCGCAAAGUGACAGGUGACAAGGUUUCCAAGCUCUGCAAGAUCUGAGUUGUAUCCAUAUCCAUCCCCUGUGCUCUCACAGUUAUCAAUCAGACUCACAUAGAAAACUUCAGGAAAUUCUACAAGGGUAAGAAGGGUAAGAAGUAUAAGCUCCUGCAUCUGCAGCUCAUGCCAUGUGCCAAAUGACCAUCAGGAGAACCUGAAGACCAAGAAGCAGCAGCUGUACCAGCUGCGGGAGUACACGGUCAAGGCUUGAGCAGUGGCAUCAAUAAAACACAAACAAAACAGUACAUAAAGUACACUGAUGUAUACAGCUUAUUUUUUACCUAUAUGUGCACCACAGUGACUGCCACCCAGAUUGAAAUGUAGAAUAUUUCUGUCACUCAAAGUUCAGUCAGGCCUUCCCAGUCUAUACCCCCUAGGUGACCAAUAAUUCUGACUUCUAUCAUGACCAAUUAGUUUUACUUACUUGAACUUCACAUAAAUGGAAUCCUAUAGUAUAUACUCUUUUGUGAUUUAUUUCACUCAAUAUAAUACCUUCAAGAUUCACCUAUGUUGUUAUAUACACCAGUACUUUCUUCUUUCAUAUUGUUAGGUAGUCACUUUCUGAUGCAUCCUUCUAUUGAUAGGGCAUUUUUGUUGGGAUCACUUUUAGGUUAAUACAAACAAAGCUUCUAUUAAUAUCCUUGCCCAUAUCAUUUGUAGACAAAUAUGUUCAUUUCUCUUGGAUGUAUAUUUAGAAGUGGAAUUGAGGGUCAUAGUACAUUAUAACCUUCUCUUACAUUUGUAGAAAAAAUAAAAAUACUUUUAAAAGAAUUAGUGUGUUUAUACUGAAUGGCUUUUAAAAAUUUCUUCCUGACCCAGGUACAUACCUGAACAAAUCCAUGUUUUUUAUGUAAAACAUGGAUUCUAUGUACUUUACUCUUUUCCAAGAUACCCAGUAACUUAAAUACUAUGAUGAAAAAUUAAUGAUAAAUACUAUGAUAUAAAGUCAAUGCUUGAAUACUAUGAUGGAAAACUACUUGAUAAGGGAAUAAGAAAGGAAAGAAUAUAAGGCUAAGCACACACACAUUCAUAACAAUACAAGGAAUACGUGAGACAAUUAACACUGCUCAUUUCUGUAACUGGUUACAUGAUUAUGGUUCUAUACCUAGUAGAGUGACAUAAACUUUCCUUCCUCAAGGGUCUGGGUCAUUCAUAGUCCUGACUGGAACAGGUCAUUGUUUGUCACUGACCUUAAUCACAGUGCCAUGGUAAUAUUAACAGAUGCCCUAAGAGAUCUUCUGUAUUCCAGACAUACUCUUCCUCACCUCCAUUGUGGAGGAGUAGUCCAAUUUCUCGUCAGUAGUCAGGAUUAAUGGCCCCAGCCAACACUGGAACUCUCUUCUUUGCCUGUGGAUUCAGAGGUAUGAGGAAGCCAAAGUGGCUGGGUGGCAGUCUUAACUUGGCAGUUCCUGGAACUAUUGUUGUGCCUCUUGAUGGAAGCACCUCUCAUUCUGGAACUAAGACCUCUAGGCCAGCAGGGUGCUAAGGCCUGGGAACAGAAAGCAAAAAUUUUGCUAGUGGAUCACUAGGGGGUAAGAGUGAGUGGUACUAUUCCCAUCUCCACCUAUAAAGGAAAACCUACAGUUUUCCCCUACUGCGUGUUUCUUCUCUUUUUAUUUCCUUUACUACUCAUACAAAAUACUUACUUCUGAGACUUCAGAUCACCAAAUGUGUGGGCCAUUUCCCCAAGUAAUUUUCCAAGCACCAGCUGGAUGGAGAAUUCAACUCAAUUCUAACAUUAUCUGCCUGGAUAUAGUGUCAGAUACCACAGGCUAGGGACACCUGCCUAGGUGGUGUCCUAGAUGGCUCAGUGGUUUGGUGCCUGCCUUCAGCCUGGGGCAUGAUCCAUGAGUCCCAGGAUCGAGUCCCACAUUGGGGUCCCUGCCUGGAGCCUGCUUAUCCUUCUGCUUAUAUCUCUGCCUCUCUCUGUCUCUCUCAUGAAUAAAUAAAUAAAAUCUUAAAAAUAUAUAUACCACAGGCUAAAGCUUCAGUCCCACAAUAGUGGUCCCCCCCUUCAGAUGCCAAUUGCAAGUAGUAGGUGUCCAAGUUACCCACAACUUCUGACUUGGAUACAAAUUGAAGGUUCCUAUAACCCUCUGCUCAGUUUCAAUUAUUUUGCUAGAGCAGGGAUCCCUGGGUGGCGCAGCGGUUUGGCGCCUGCCUUUGGCCCAGGGCGCAAUCCUGGAGACCCGGGAUCGAAUCCCACGUCGGGCUCCCAGUGCAUGGAGCCUGCUUCUCCCUCUGCCUGUGUCUCUGCCUCUCUCUCUCUCUGUGUGACUAUCAUAAAUAAAUAAAAUUAAAAAAAAAAUAAAAUCUUUAUUUUGCUAGAGCAGCACACAGAAAUCAGGGGAACACAUAUACCAGUUUAUUAAAGGAUAUGAUAAAGGAUAGAGGUAACAGCCAGAUGAAGAGAUACAUAGGGUAAAGUCUUGGAGUACCCUGAGCACAAGAAUUUCUGUCCCUGUGGAGUUGGGGUGCAAUCACACUUUUGGUAGGGGUAUGUUUGCAACCUAGGAGUCUUCUGAACCCUAUAGAUUGGGGAUUUUUAUGGAGGAGACUUCAUCAUUUAGGUACAAUGGGUCAUUAGCCCCAUUUCCAGCCCUCUCUGCUUCCCAAGAGAAGGGAAAGAGACAGGGCUGAAAAUUCCAAACUUCUAAUCAUGGCUUGGUCUUUUCAGGGACCAGUACUCAUCUGGAAGCCAUCCAGUAGCUCACCCAGAGUUGCCUCUGGGUGAUAGGGAAUCACAAAGUUUUCAAGAGCCCUGUGUCAGCAACCAGGUCAAAGACCAAAUAUUGGAACAAGAGAUGCUCCUAAUGCUAUUACUUAGGAAAUUACAAUAGUUUUAGAAGCUCUGUGCUAUUGGAUGCCUGGGUGGCUAAGUUGGUUAAGUGUCUGCCUUUGGCUCAGGUCAUGAUCUGAUUACAUCAGGCUUGAUCCCAGCAGGGAGCCUCCUUCUCCCUCUUCCUCUGCCUACCCCUCCCCCUGCUAGUGCUCUCUGUCAAAUAAAUAAAAUUAAAAAAAAAAAAAAAAA
rnacentral:lncRNA from 1 species